ACGGGAGGCAGCAGUAGGGAAUUUUCGGCAAUGGGGGAAACCCUGACCGAGCAAUGCCGCGUGAAUGAUGAAAUUCUUCGGAAUGUAAAAUUCUGUUGUAUUGGACGAAUGUUACGUAUAGGAAAUGAUAUGUAAUUGACGGUACUUUACUAGAAAGCCCCGGCUAACUAUGUGCCAGCAGCCGCGGUAAUACAUAGGGGGCAAGCGUUAUCCGGAAUUAUUGGGCGUAAAGAGUGCGUAGGCGGUUUAUUAAGUCUGGUGUGAAAUCCCAUAGCUUAACUAUGGCGGGUCAUUGGAAACUGGUAAACUUGAGUACAGUAGGGGCAAGUGGAACUCCAAGUGGAGCGGUGGAAUGCGUAGAUAUUUGGAAGAACACCAGUGGCGAAGGCGGCUUGCUGGGCUGGAACUGACGCUGAUGCACGAAAGCGUAGGGAGCAAACAGGAUUAGAUACCCUGGUA
rnacentral:rRNA from 1 species